rnacentral:lncRNA from 1 species
CAUACCCAGUAUUUUCCUAGCAGCCUCCAUAUCCUUCAUCUCAAACUCUUUACCAAGUUGAGAUUUUAACUUAUCUAUCUCCACCUUGCUUUUCGAAGCGAUAAGCAUGUCAUCCACAUACAGAAGAAGAUAGAUAUAGUUACCUCCCCGAAGUUUUCGAAUAUAAACACAACAAUCAUACUCACUUCUGGAGAAAUCAUGCUUUAGCAUGAAGGAAUCAAAUCGCUUGUAUCACUGCCGAGGAGAUUGCUUCAAUCCAUAUAGUGAUUUUCUCAAGCGACAUACCUGACGUUCCUUAUCCUCAACCUUGUAGCCCUCAGGUUGAUGCAUAUAGAUCUCCUCAUCCAAGUCCCCGUGCAGGAAGGCGGUUUUGACAUCGAGUUAUUCCAGCUCAAGAUCAUGAUGAGCAACAAUACUCAAUAGCACCCGAAUGGAAGUGUGCUUGACCACAGGAGAAAAGAUCUCAUUGUAGUCAACUCCCUCUCUUUGUGCAAACCCUUUAGCACUAACCUUGUUUUGAAUCUUGUACCAUCGAGCUUGGUAGGAUCCUCCUUCUUUUUAUACAACCACUUGCAACCAAUAGCUUUCUUACCUAUGGGCAAUGGGACAACCUCCCAUGUUUGGUUCUUGUGAAGUGAUUCCAUCUCUUCUUCCAUUAUCGCCAACCAACUCUCGCUAUUGUUGUUUAAAAUAGCUUCCUUGAAAGUGGUAGGCUCAUCAUCCUCUACCGAGAGUGCAUACUCAACCAAAUUUGUCUGCCCAUAGUGCCUCAAAGGCUCGUCUGACCCCAACUUUAGAACUUGCUUGUAAGUACGUCGUGGCCUAGAGGAAGCCAAGUUAUCUGCAAGCUGCUGUUGUUGCUGUGCCUGUACAUUCUCUUGCUGAAUCG